rnacentral:tRNA from 1 species
AAGCUUUAGAAAAAGUUUCUUGUUUUACUUUCAAGGUAAAUAUUUUGUAUAAAUUAUAAAGCU